rnacentral:rRNA from 1 species
AUUGAACGCUGGCGGCACGCCUAACACAUGCAAGUCGAGCGGCAGCGAGACUAGUAGCAAUACCAGUUGUCGGCGAGCGGCGGACGGGUGAGUAACACGUAGGAAUCUGCCCUUAAGCGGGGGAUAACCAAGGGAAACUUUGGCUAAUACCGCAUAAUCUCGAGAGAGCAAAGCUGCCCGCAAGGGUGGCACUUGAGGAGGAGCCUGCGUCCGAUUAGCUAGUUGGUGGGGUAAUGGCCUACCAAGGCGAUGAUCGGUAACUGGUCUGAGAGGACGACCAGUCACGCUGGGACUGAGACACGGCCCAGACUCCUACGGGAGGCAGCAGUGGGGAAUAUUGGACAAUGGGGGCAACCCUGAUCCAGCGAUGCCGCGUGAGUGAAGAAGGCCUUCGGGUCGUAAAGCUCUUUAGGUUGGGAAGAAGGGUAUUGGCUGAAUAAUCCAGUACUUUGACGGUACCGACAGAAUAAGCACCGGCAAACUCUGUGCCAGCCGCCGCGGUAAGAC